CAUUGAUGUGAUGAUAUCUUGUUUCCGAAUUUACGAAUGUGGACUAUAAACAAUCAGACUACAAUUAUCUGAUCAAUG